rnacentral:rRNA from 1 species
UACGAAGGGGGCUAGCGUUACUCGGAUUUACUGGGCGUAAAGGGCGCGUAGGCGGCUUGGUGAGUGAGGCGUGAAAUUCCCGGGCUUAACCUGGGGACUGCGCUUCAUACUGCUGGGCUUGAGGAUGGAAGAGGGUCGUGGAAUUCCCAGUGUAGAGGUGAAAUUCGUAGAUAUUGGGAAGAACACCGGUGGCGAAGGCGGCGACCUGGUCCAUUACUGACGCUGAGGCGCGACAGCGUGGGGAGCAAACAGG